AAUUUUGAAACUGUUUUGUUAUUGAUGAGGAACCUCACUGUUAACUUGUCUAGCCCAGAUUUUGAGCCAAUUCGAAAUGUCCUGUCUUCCUAUGACAUCAAUACCAAAACAGUGGGAGUAACUGCCAAGAACCAAACCAAUGAUAUAUCAUGUUGAAGUUUUGCUACUCACAAAUUGCUGACUAGUGGUGUGUAGCUAGAAUAUCUUGCUGCUUCAAUGGAACAGUUAGCAGCUCCUAGCAUUUCCUGCACUGCGUGCUCUGAAAUUCAGUAGAGGCAACUCGUAGCAGCCACAGCCAAGAAGUAUCUAAUAGUGGAAGAAAGUUUUAUAUUGAUUUCUAAGAUCCGCAACUACAUGGAUGUUAAUUUUUCCACCAACGCCAGUAGGAAUGGCUGAUCCUAUUCUGUACAUGAUUAGGCCUUCAACCAAAAAGUGUGUAUAUCUUGCGAGGUUUGCUUGGUGUCUAUUUAACCAUUCGUUAAUAUAGUUUAAUUUCCAUAUGAUAGUGUAGUUUUUGCCAAGGUGGUGUAACUGGAAGAAUUUGAACACAUUAAAAUAAGAUUGCCUUCAGAAUUGACAAUGUUGGUACUUUUGUGUACCAGAACUCCCUAUUUUUGUUGUCGAUAUAAGGUAUUUAGCUUUUAUUAUUUGUUGAGCCAAUAGGAUUUCUUGUCCUUGAUUUCACUCUCUCUGAUUAUUCAUAUGUAUUGGAUAGAAGUUAAUUAUUU
rnacentral:misc_RNA from 1 species